AAAAUGAGCUUAAACCACUGAUCUAUAUAUAUAACUGGAUAGCUCAUGACGUCACAACAGUGAAGCUACUGCGCCGCCAUCUUGGUAUUCCCUAACAUUCUGUACUCCUAUGUGUCUCAAUGGGAAAUCGUCUGUUUUGCAGCAUUACGUUCAGCGGCGCACGUGCGCACGUGUUUCAAUAGAAACAAGUUUAAGAAACUGAGUGCAGGCCUGAAUACGGACCAGCUCACGGGCAUCAUUUAUAAAGUGAUCAAUUGGAAUAGACGAGGAGCAGGGCAGGACUGGUAAUCUGGACUACCGGACAUUUUUCCGGUGGACCGACAAACUUUGGGGCCGAUCAGGGUGGACUGGCCAUCGGGAGAACCGAGCGGGUCGCUGUGUCGUCCGCGAUAAUCUAAAACGAGCCGCCGCGUUAGCGAACACUACCCCCCCAACAACAACUUUUUGGCAGUUAUGUCAAAUCCCGGGCCGAUUUCUCUUUCCAGUCCAGCCCUGAAAAGGUGCACAUGGAUAUUGUUGAAGUUAAACAAGUACAUGCUUGCCCAGAGUUUUCUUAAGCCGUUUGGAGUGUGAUGCAGCACAUGUUUCCUUGGCAAUGAAGUGGAGGCUGAUGUUUGUGCAGCUUUCUGCAAUGCACUGAGUAUGAAGAUGUGAUUGUUGUAUGGUUCUAGGUUGAACAUGUUUGCCUCAAGUUCCUUGAAUGCAGAGCCACUAUGAAGAUCCAGAACAUUUGUGGGGACAGAGAUGGGCCUUGUGAGUGUGUGCUGUUGAAGAAAUCUCUCAGCUGUCUUGCAGACUUGCAGGACGCUGUCUGACGGUCUUAUAAAUCCACCUCAGGACUUCAUGUCGAUUAGUGUGUUCAUCUUGGGAAGAGCUCUCGACACUGAGUGCUGAUAAACAGGCUGAACGUCACUGCCUGAAAUGCAUAUCAGAAGAUGCUGCCUCCAGUGUCACUGUGAUAUCCGGUGGAGAACUGUUGCCACUAGCUCUGAUGGCACGUCUUGCUACCAUUCUUUUGAAAGCUGAAUAAUGUGGGAUUGUUGUUAAAUCCAUUAGCAGAUUUGUUCCCACAUAUCUGCAAAUUGUUAUUGUAUUGUUCAGUUUAAGUCAAUUUUUUUUAUGUACUUGGAAGCUUUUGUUAUUGAACAAAUAAAUAUGUAUGAUUUCCUUGAGUGUGCAU